rnacentral:lncRNA from 1 species
UAAACAUUCGACUAGUAUUAUGAUUCAUUUUGAUCACGUACAAGUAAUUCAUUACAUCCAUGAUUCUUUACAAUUCAUUACAUUAUUUCUUUCUUACAUCACAUUUGCCUCAAAAUAAGCCUUACAUUCUUUUCUUUGCUUUAAACAUUCACAACCUAAAUCAUCAAUACAAAAGAUGAUAAAAGGGUAGCUACUACAAAAUGUAAC